UUUCCGUAGGUGAACCUGCGGAAGGAUCAUUAUCGAGUUUUGAAACGGGUUGUAGCUGACCUCAAUUGGGGUAUGUGCACGCCUGGCUCAUUCCACUCUCAAACCCCUGUGCACUUAUUGUAGGCUUGGUGGGAUAGGCUGACUUUUAUUAGUCGGUCUUGAAAGCUUCGCCUAUGUUUUAAUACAAACGCUUCAGUUUAGAAUGUAAUCAUUGCUAACAAGCAAAUUAAAUACAACUUUCAGCAACGGAUCUCUUGGCUCUCGCAUCGAUGAAGAACGCAGCGAAAUGCGAUAAGUAAUGUGAAUUGCAGAAUUCAGUGAAUCAUCGAAUCUUUGAACGCACCUUGCGCUCUUUGGUAUUCCGAAGAGCAUGCCUGUUUGAGUGUCAUGGUAUCAUCAACCUUCAACACUUUUGUGAUUGAAGGCUUGGAUUUGGAGGUUGUGUCGGUGCAUUUGUAUCGACUCCUCUGAAAUGUAUUAGCGUGAAUCUUACGGAUCGCCUUCGGUGUGAUAAUUACUGCGCCGUGGACGUGAAGUAUAACAGUGUUCGUGCUUAUAAUCGUCUUUAACAGAGACAACACUUUGACAAUCUGACCUCAAAUCAGGUAGGAUUACCCGCUGAACUUAA
rnacentral:rRNA from 1 species